rnacentral:rRNA from 1 species
UACAGAGGUCUCAAGCGUUGUUCGGAUUCAUUGGGCGUAAAGGGUGCGUAGGCGGCGCGGUAAGUCGGGUGUGAAAUCUCGGAGCUUAACUCCGAAACUGCAUUCGAUACUGCCGUGCUUGAGGACUGGAGAGGAGACUGGAAUUUACGGUGUAAGCGGUGAAAUGCGUAGAUAUCGUAAGGAAGACCAGUGGCGAAGGCGGGUCUCUGGACAGUUCCUGACGCUGAGGCACGAAGGUCAGGGGAGCAAACGGG